GACAUGUAGGAAAAGUCAAAUCGUUUACACUGACAUACAGAGCCUAAGCUGUUCUAAAUACUGAAUUUGAGGGGAAUUGACUCAACGCAUACACUGAGAGAGAGAGAGAGAGAGAGAGAGAGGGGUAGGUUGGAAAGGCGACCCUAUUCCUGGUCCCGUACAGCCGAGGAAUCGAAACCACGUCAGUUGACUCAAUGACAGACCUUAUGAUACAACGCACACGCGCCAAUCAUUCAGCCACCCAACCACCCUCCCAAUUGUUUAACAGCCUUGUACUUUCCCCAAAGUGGACACAGAGAUACAUUAUAAGGAAUUUAUUUUUGUCUAUAACAGACUUUGUGUAAUUGUUUACAGGUCAGAAUUUUCGUAGGAAUGUAUGUUAUUUAUCUUAAAGAAUGGUUUGAAGUAUUUGAGUGAGGAGAGAAAGAAUAGGUCAUUUCAGGACUAACAUAUGGUUCAAUUAUAUUUUUAUAAUCCGUUUGUGCGUAGGGGUUUUAAGCUGAUUUUGUCAAGGGUUAUCCCGCGCGGGAUGUGAGCAAUUUCUGCAUCUCAAAAUACCUUGGCGGAUUUUAAACUGAAGAUAGCUAGGUCAAUAAACCUUGGCGGAUAUUAUACUGAAGAUAGCUAGGUCAAUAAACCUUGUAGAGAUUUGAUUCUUCAGAAAUGAAAUGGGGUUGAACCCAGUGCUGCACCCACGGACAAGGGAAUACCACGCCGGAAAAUUCCGGGAAACUUUCCAGAACAACUCCGGGAUUAAACACACGACGGCCUGUGAUGUAUGGUAUACGUUUCCAGUGUGACGUAUGGUAUAUAUUUCCAGUGUGGUGUAUGGUAUAUAUUUCAAGUGUGAUUUAUUGUCUAUAGUGAUGUAUGGUAUAUAUAGCUAUAGAGGUGUAUGGAUAUUGUUAUAGUGUUGUAUGGUAUAUAUCCAUAUAGUGCUGUAUGGUAUAUGUUCCCUUUGUGACGUAUGGUAUAUAUUUCCAGUGUGGUGUAUGGUAUAUAUUUCAAGUGUGAUUUGUUGUCUAUAGUGAUGUAUGGUAUAUAUAGCUAUAGAGGUGUAUGGAUAUUGUUAUAGUGUUGUAUGGUAUAUAUCCAUAUAGUGCUGUAUGGUAUAUGUUCCUUUGUGAUGUAUGUUAUAUAUUUCCAUUGUGAUGUAUGGUAUAUAUUUCCAUUGUGAUGUAUGGUAUAUAUUUCCAUUGUGAUGCAUGGUAUAUAUUUCUGUAGUUACCUACCAAAUAGAUGAAUCCCAGACAAAUGGGAACUAUAUAAUCUCAAGAUUAGACGGACCAAUUAGAUAAAUCCCAGACAAUAUAUCGAUAUGAAUCAUGGUUCAGACAAAAACAAAACCCAGACACAACAAAACGUAUUAACCCUAGUUUAGCUUAACAGAUGCAAUGUGUAGUGUUUUAAAUGUGCAGAAUGUGUAGUAUGGAUACAGUAUAAACACUGAUAUACUAUACCUGUAUAUACUAGUAUUUACAUCUAAUAUAUGCCCUUAAACAUUCUUACCAAUUAUACAUGCAUGUAUACCACCUACAUAUCUACACAGAUAACACUUGUCAACCACUCAACACAAUCUAUACCAACUCAGGACCAACACAUGUUAAAUCUUCAGUUCAAUCAUUCGUAUGGGAGAAACUGUAUUUAACACAUAUAGUAGUGCAAGCCCAAAGGUUAGGCAGGUCACCCUAUUUCAUGUCACGUACAUAUCCUUUUUUAUUCUUCGAAUCCUCUAGUCUAAUAAUAGGAGCAUCCCACAAAGAAAGCUUCAAAAUCUAAUUUCUGGUAUUUAGAUGUGUUUAAUUUCCGGCAAUGUGAUUUAUAAUAUUUUACCAAUUAUAAUGUCACAUCUAGAAAUAUACGUUGAUGCUGAGAUUGCGACGAUGAUCAUAUAGCAUAUUCCCCAAGUAAUGGUAACGCGUACUAUCAGAUGAUUACCCAUUGCCACAUUCAGAUGGUAAUUACUGGCAAAAGUUUUCAUUGGGAUACUAAAAUUGCGUGUAGAUUACUCAAAAUAGCGCAUACAACUUCUGGUGUUUACACUUCUCAAUUCUAUUUUAUAAAGCUUUUUCAGAAAUGUAUAGUCCGAACCAGUCUCAAGACAACCGUAUCAUGUCUGAAUAACAUAAUCAUGAAACACAGGCCAAGUUCCCAAAGAAAGUUUAACCCUCUUCUAAGAUGAUGUAGAACGAGGGUCCAAAGAAGAUAUAAUAAGUGGUAAAGUAGAUAAUAUUGAGAUAAUGAUGGUCGUUACCAAUGCUUCAAGAAUAUAAACGGGUGCUCAGGGUGGAAAAAAUACAUGUAGAAAGUGUGACAAAGUCGGAGUUCAAUAGAUAUUGUUUCCUUUAGUGUUAUUUCUGAUUACUAAAUGUGGGCACAGUGUUAACUGAUGAAACGCAAUAGCCAAGUGCGAAAACCAAGUUGGUCAACAUUUGGGAAUAAAAAUACAAGUUUGUAAUGAUUUACAUGAUGUAAAUAGAGAAUUGUAUGUAUGUAUGUACCUGCCAUACUUAACAUUGUUAAGAUAAGUAUACGUAGAUAAUACAUCAAGUAUGUGUUUUGUUGGGGUCAUUUGUAAGGAUAACUUUUACCUUUUUUUAUUUGAUAUCAGCCACAGUAUACCUCCAUGUAACUAUUUCCCCACGUUUCAUAGGAACCAUUUGAGAAUAAGACAAAAAUGAUAUAGAUUUGAAUAAUGACUUUGUCCGAGAAGACUUUUCAUAACAAACCAUAACACUUUCGGAAACGUAACCACAGUCGUAAAUAAAAAAAAAUAACAUUAAUAGUAUGCUAGUCUAAAAAUGAUUUAGGUAAGUAUGGAGGAAAAAUAAACCUUAUCCAUUCUUUCAGCUAAUUAUUAUAAAUUAAGAUCCCUUUAGACGGGCAGAGGGAGUCGGGGUUUAACGUCCACUCGAUACAAAUUAAGUGAUUUCCUCACUAACAUAGGAUUCAAUUUUAUUUCAAUAAUUUGCAGCUGGAAGAAACAGGAGGGCCUGGAGAAAACCCACGAGGUUGGACAUUUGAUCCUACUCCUUGUCACGUACAAGAGGGGAAUCAAAACUAAACCACUUGACUUAAUGGCAGACCUUCUGAUCUAAAGCGCAUACGUUAGACCAUUCGGUUACCCAACACCUCUUUAUCUGGAGGUGAGCGAAAAUAUGCAACCCAGUUGGUCUAACAGGACCAGGUGGGUUAGCAAGCUUGUUCUUUGGACAACUGCGCAUCGAUUGACGGACAUUGAUUUUGACUACUUUGACGGUCUGUUCGAU